rnacentral:rRNA from 1 species
UACGUAGGGUGCAAGCGUUGUCCGGAAUUCAUUUGGGCGUUAAAGGAGCGUGUAGGCGGGCCCGGUAAGUCCGCUGUAAAAGUCAAAGGGCUCAACCUUUGAAAUGUCGAGUGGUAUACCUGACCCGGGCUAGAGUCCGGAAGAGGCGAGUGGAACUCCGUGGUGGUAGGCGGUGGAAUGCUGCAGAUAGUCAAGGAAGAACACCAACGGCGAAGGCAGCAUCCGC